GCAUUGGUGGUUUAGUGGUAAAAUUAGCCGUUGCCAUCGGCUAGCCCCGAGUUCGAUUCUCGGUCAAUGCA
rnacentral:tRNA from 2 species